CCUACGGGUGGCUGCAGUAGGGAAUAUUGCUCAAUGGGCGAAACCCUGAAGCAGCAACGCCGCGUGGAGGAUUAAGGUUUUAGGAGUGUAAACUCCUUUUGUUAGAGAAGAAAAUGACGGUAUCUAACGAAUCAGCGACGGAUAACGCCGUGACAGCAUCCGCGGUACUACGGAGGGUGCACGCGUUACUCGGAAUCACUGGGCGUAAAGGGCGGGUAGGCGGGAUCGCAAGUCAGAUGUGAAAUCCUUUGGCUUAACCAUAGAACUGAAUUUGAAACUGGUAUUCUAGAGUAUGGGAGAGGUAGGUGGAAUGCUUGGUGUAGGGGUAAAAUCCGUAGAGAUCAAGAAGAAUACUCAUUGCGAAGGCGACCUGAUGGAACAUAACUGACGCUGAUGCGCGAAAGCGUGGGGAGCGAACAGGAUUAGAUACCCCAGUAGUC
rnacentral:rRNA from 1 species